rnacentral:rRNA from 1 species
AAACGACUGCUAAUACCGCAUAAUGUCUACGGACCAAAGGGGGCUUCGGCUCUCGCCUUUAGAUUGGCCCAAGUGGGAUUAGCUAGUUGGUGAGGUAAUGGCUCACCAAGGCGACGAUCCCUAGCUGGUUUGAGAGGAUGAUCAGCCACACUGGGACUGAGACACGGCCCAGACUCCUACGGGAGGCAGCAGUGGGGAAUAUUGCACAAUGGGCGCAAGCCUGAUGCAGCCAUGCCGCGUGUGUGAAGAAGGCCUUCGGGUUGUAAAGCACUUUCAGUCAGGAGGAAAGGUUAGUAGUUAAUACCUGCUAGCUGUGACGUUACUGACAGAAGAAGCACCGGCUAACUCCGUGCCAGCAGCCGCGGUAAUACGGAGGGUGCGAGCGUUAAUCGGAAUUACUGGGCGUAAAGCGUACGCAGGCGGUUUGUUAAGCGAGAUGUGAAAGCCCCGGGCUCAACCUGGGAACUGCAUUUCGAACUGGCAAACUAGAGUGUGAUAGAGGGUGGUAGAAUUUCAGGUGUAGCGGUGAAAUGCGUAGAGAUCUGAAGGAAUACCGAUGGCGAAGGCAGCCACCUGGGU